rnacentral:rRNA from 1 species
GACGAACGCUGGCGGCGUGCUUAACACAUGCAAGUCGAACGGAAAGGCCCUGCUUUUGUGGGGUGCUCGAGUGGCGAACGGGUGAGUAACACGUGAGUAACCUGCCCUUGACUUUGGGAUAACUUCAGGAAACUGGGGCUAAUACCGGAUAGGAGCUCCUGCUGCAUGGUGGGGGUUGGAAAGUUUCGGCGGUUGGGGAUGGACUCGCGGCUUAUCAGCUUGUUGGUGGGGUAGUGGCUUACCAAGGCUUUGACGGGUAGCCGGCCUGGGAGGGUGACCGGCCACCUUGGGACUGCGAUACGGACCAGACUGGUACGGGAGGCAGCAGGGGGGAAUAUUGCACAAUGGGCGGAAGCCUGAUGCAGCAGCGCCGCGUGCGGGAUGACGGCUUUCGGGUUGUAAACCGCUUUCGCCUGUUACGAAGCGUGAGUGACGGUAAUGGGUAAAGAAGCACCGGCUAACUACGUG